rnacentral:rRNA from 1 species
UACAGAGGUCUCAAGCGUUGUUCGGAUUCAUUGGGCGUAAAGGGUGCGUAGGUGGCGGGGCCAGUCAGGUGUGAAAUCCCGGGGCUAACCCUGGAACUGCAUUUGAUACUGCCUUGCUGGAGAACUGGAGAGGAGACUGGAAUUUACGGUGUAGCAGUGAAAUGCGUAGAGAUCGUAAGGAAGACCAGUGGCGAAGGCGAGUCUCUGGACAGUUACUGACACUGAGGCACGAAGGCCAGGGGAGCAAACGGG